GAUGAACGCUGGCGGCGUGCCUAAUACAUGCAAGUCGAGCGAACGGACGAGAAGCUUGCUUCUCUGAUGUUAGCGGCGGACGGGUGAGUAACACGUGGAUAACCUACCUAUAAGACUGGGAUAACUUCGGGAAACCGUAGCUAAUACCGGAUAAUAUUUUGAACCGCAUGGUUCAAAAGUUACAGACGGUCUUGCUGUCACUUAUAGAUGGAUCCGCGCUGCAUUAGCUAGUUGGUAAGGUAACGGCUUACCAAGGCAACGAUGCAUAGCCGACCUGAGAGGGUGAUGGGCCACACUGGAACUGAGACACGGUCCAGACUCCUACGGGAGGCAGCAGUAGGGAAUCUUCCGAAAUGGGCGAAAGCCUGACGGAGCAACGCAGCGUGAGUGAUGAAGGGCUUCGGAUCGUAAAACUCUGUUAUUAGGGAAGAACAUAUGUGUAAGUAACUGUGCACAUCUUGACGGUACCUAAUCAGAAAGCCACGGCUAACUACGUG
rnacentral:rRNA from 1 species